GUCUGUCUGUCUGUCUGUCUGUCUGUCUGUCUGUCUGUAGGCCUUCUAAGCCAGUAACUAAAUGAACAGGUGUAGACUGAAAAUUAAUAUGCUCAUAUUGUAUCAUGUAAUAUUCCAUCAGUAUUUAUUUUAGUAAGUGCAUUUCAACAGCAAAAACACAAACAGUGAAUCCGGUGUGAGCCCCUUGUCCACGAGCCCAGCUGCUGCCCCUACCCGGAAACAUUACAAGGGCCGGAAAGGGCCAAUGUUAAGGGAGCACACGUCACUCACUUUUACCCUAAAAUAUUUCCAUCGACCAUCCAGUGUUUAUCUCGGCCGACAGAAUUUCAAGCGGAAGCUCCCUGGCGGAGUGACGGCUCGAAAUGAAACGUCGAAGAGGCUGACUGUUAGUCGGCGUUGAUUUCUGCACCGUUCGCCCAGCUCAGCAUCAGUGAAAAUGGCUCUGACUAACGCCUGGAAAACAACGCGCAGAAAUGGAAGCGGACCGUAGCUAGCUGAGCAGUUAGAAGAAGGCGUGACAGGCCUCAUCCAUCUGCCACCGUAUGCGUAGGACCGCAGACUUGCAAUAAAAUGAGAGGCAGACUAAUAUGCAAUAAAAUAUCUUCCUCAUCUGCCAGGGGAGCUGUCUCCCUCCAAGAAUUCGGUAAGAUGUUUUAAAGGUGAGCAGAAACGCAUUUAAAGUGAGUAAAUCUUACGCAAACAGCGCACUUUUAGCUUUAUAAAAAGAGACAUAUUGUGAUUAUUUUAAAAGUCAGUGGUGCACAUCGACUGAGUUAUGCUUACACUUGGAGCUAAUAUUCAUUUUUAUUCGAAUGCUAAUGUAUUUUAUUCGGUUUUGGUCGUUGGUUUAGAUGAUGUAAUUCGAGUUAAUUGGCCCUUCAUAAAGUGAGUCACUCUGGUUAAAAGCACUUUGUAUCUGACCGGAUGGGGCAAAAAGAUAGAGGAAUAGGUGAAAACGAGCCUUAUAAAUAGAAAUAAAAACAAAGUAAUCUACAGAAUUACUCUAGUAUGGAGUACUUGUAAAAUAACUUUUUGUACCGAUUAGUCAUCCUUUCUAUGUCACAUUGUGUAAUUACCCUCAUUAUGUCUUCAUAUCCUUCCCUUUUAAAACAUUUUCUAUAUAUUUUUUACCAUAUAUGGUCUAAUGCUCAUAGUUGGAGUAAAAUUGCCUCUGAUUGUUAACACACCAACACACAAAUAAAGGUAAGACUUCAAAAUUUUAUUUACUGUCCGGGUUAAAACAUAUUUAGUUUGAUAAAAUGGAGGGCAAAUAAUAAAUACAAUGUUUUAAAAUCUUUGCAGGGUAUUAAAAUCUUUCACUCUCCUUGAGAAUCUUCAGAAAUGUUUGUUUAUUUAUUUGGCAGACGCUUUUAUCCAAAGCGACUUACAAUUUCUAACCUAUAGGGCAUGUUGUGAUCUGUGGGGGAAACCGGAGUACCCGGAGGAAACCCACGCAUGCAUGGGAAGAACACGCAACUCCACGCAGAAACGCCGCAGCCUAGUUUCGAACCUGCAACCUUUGUGCUGCGAAGCAACAGUGCUAACCACUGCGCCACCAUGCAGCCCAGAAAUAUUUGCCUCCGCUGGAGGAACAUUUCAUCAUAAAAUAAAGGCCAG